UACGUAGGGGGCAAGCGUUGUCCGGAAUUAUUGGGCGUAAAGAGCGUGUAGGCGGUCCGGUAAGUCCGCUGUGAAAGUCCAGGGCUCAACCCUGGAAUGCCGGUGGAUACUGCCGGGCUAGAGUCCGGAAGAGGCGAGUGGAAUUCCUGGUGUAGCGGUGAAAUGCGCAGAUAUCGGGAAGAACACCCGUGGCGAAGGCGGUUCUCUGGGACGGUACUGACGCUGAGACGCGAAAGCGUGGGGAGCGAACAGG
rnacentral:rRNA from 1 species